ACGUCCUUCAUGGUUAAGGCGAUGGACUCGAAAUCCAUUGGGGUCUCCCCGCACAGGUUCGAAUCCUGUCGACUGCG
rnacentral:tRNA from 1 species